rnacentral:piRNA from 1 species
UGAUCAUGCAGCCUCAGACAAAGCCUGUC